rnacentral:rRNA from 1 species
GACAGAGGGUGCAAACGUUGUUCGGAAUUACUGGGCGUAAAGCGAGUGUAGGCGGUCUUGAAAGUCGGAUGUGAAAGCCCUGGGCUCAACCCAGGAAGUGCAUUCGAUACUCCAAGGCUAGAGUACUGGAGAGGUGGGUGGAAUUCUCGGUGUAGAGGUGAAAUUCGUAGAUAUCGAGAGGAAUACCAACGGCGAAGGCAGGUCACUGGGCAGUUACUGACACUGAGGCACGAAGGCCAGGGGAGCAAACGGG